AACGGUAACAUUUCUAGCUUGCUAGAAGAUGACGAGUGGCGGACGGGUGAGUAAUGCUUGGGAACUUGCCUUUGCGAGGGGGAUAACAGUUGGAAACGACUGCUAAUACCGCAUAAUGUCUUCGGACCAAACGGGGCUUAGGCUCCGGCGCAAAGAGAGGCCCAAGUGAGAUUANCUAGNUNGGUAAGGUAACGGCUUACCAAGGCGACGAUCUCUAGCUGUUCUGAGAGGAAGAUCAGCCACACUGGGACUGAGACACGGCCCAGACUCCUACGGGAGGCAGCAGUGGGGAAUAUUGCACAAUGGGGGAAACCCUGAUGCAGCCAUGCCGCGUGUGUGAAGAAGGCCUUCGGGUUGUAAAGCACUUUCAGUUGUGAGGAAAAGUUAGUAGUUAAUACCUGCUAGCCGUGACGUUAACAACAGAAGAAGCACCGGCUAACUCCGUGCCAGCAGCCGCGGUAAUACGGAGGGUGCGAGCGUUAAUCGGAAUUACUGGGCGUAAAGCGCACGCAGGCGGUUUGUUAAGCUAGAUGUGAAAGCCCCGGGCUCAACCUGGGAUGGUCAUUUAGAACUGGCAGACUAGAGUCUUGGNNAGGGGGAGUGGAAUUCCAGGUGUAGCGGUGAAAUGCGUAGAUAUCUGGAGGAACAUCAGUGGCGAAGGCGACUCCCUGGCCAAAGACUGACGCUCAUGUGCGAAAGUGUGGGUAGCGAACAGGAUUAGAUACCCUGGUAGUCCACACCGUAAACGCUGUCUAC
rnacentral:rRNA from 1 species